ACUACCUCCAUCCCAGAAUGGCCGCAUUUUUGUACAGUUUAUGUAUUUAAAAAAUUUUAUGAUUAAUAUUUUUAAUGUUAUUAGAGGAUAAAACAUGAAUAGUACUUUAUAUGAGACUAAUAUUUUUUUAAAAAUAUAUUAUAUUAAAAAUAAGACGGACGGUCAAACAUUGGACACGGAAAUCCACAACUGCACAUAAA
rnacentral:pre_miRNA from 1 species